CUCAACUCUGUCAGCCAUGUUCAGAUCAGGGCUUACCUUUACUGUACAUCGUGCUGAUUUCUGCUGCUGCUGGAUCUCUGUUGAUCGUAGCUGCAGUCUUGUGGUGCUGUUUCUGCUGGAAACAUAAAACAAUAGUUCAGAAAAUCGUGAUCCACGAGAUAUAUGAAAAUGAUUCAACACUGCAUACACCAAGAACACAAAAAAGGAAAUCAAAGGAGCCUGUGUAUUCAAAUAUCGGCAGAAAUAAUCAGCAACAUACGUUUUAGUUUACGUUUAUUCUCUGCCAUGUCUGAAAUGUUGUUGCUCUGUUUUAAUUAAUGGUGUAUUUUAAAUAGCAUAAAAAAACAUGUUCUAUUUUUUAGCUAAUCACUCUGUUAUUUACCAACUUUAUUAAAAUUGAUCUCACC